AUUGAAGGUGUUAAGUAAAUGCGAACUGCUUGGAUAAUAUUUUUAUUCUGUAUUGCCAGGCGAUGGAAUAUCGUUGAUUCAAACCAAAAUAAAUCUGGCACGUCGAACAUGAGACAGACAAUGUGUAUUUUAGUGAUGUUCGUGAGGAAAUGGAUGCAGAGGCCCACACAAAGUGUCAAUUCAUUCCAACAUGAGUGUGGCUUGUUAUUGUCGCAGACAUAAGAGUGAAACGGCGUGGGGGGAGCUUUUUCAAAAUCUA